rnacentral:lncRNA from 1 species
AACAAUUUUCAUCCUCUAUUUUUCACCAAUCUGUUUGCCUUGACAACAUUCUCUUAUCCUUUGAACUUGUAGCUAUUUGGUCUUCCCUGGCUUUUUUGGAGCUGUACUGGAGGAAUGGUUCCGUAAGCUAAAAUACCCUUCCCUUAAGACGAGAAGAGAGAACGCAUUAGGAUUCCAAUACAGACGCAAGCCUGUGUCCUUAAUUGGAAAGAUAUUGACCUACCCAUCAUUACACUGAGAAAGUUGAGAGAAUAAGAACAUCCCCACAGCAAUGAAAGAGGAGAAGAGAAGCACUGGUUGGAGUCUCCUUCCUUGUCACAAAGAAGCACAUGAUUCAUAAU